rnacentral:rRNA from 1 species
CCUACGGGAGGCAGCAGUAGGGAAUCUUCCACAAUGGGCGAAAGCCUGAUGGAGCAACGCCGCGUGGGUGAAGAAGGUCUUCGGAUCGUAAAACCCUGUUGUUAGAGAAGAAAGUGCGUGAGAGUAACUGUUCACGUUUCGACGGUAUCUAACCAGAAAGCCACGGCUAACUACGUGCCAGCAGCCGCGGUAAUACGUAGGGGGCAAGCGGUAUCCGGAUUUAUUGGGCGUAAGGGGAACGCAGGCGGUCUUUUAAGUCUGAUGGGAAAGCCUUCGGCUUAACCGGAGUAGUGCAUUGGAAACUGGGAGACUUGAGUGCAGGAGAGGAGAGUGGAACUCCAUGUGUAGCGGUGAAAUGCGUAGAUAUAUGGAAGAACACCAGUGGCGAAGGCGGCUCUCUGGUCUGUAACUGACGCUGAGGUUCGAAAGCGUGGGUAGCAAACAGGAUUAGAUACCCCUGUAGUC